UCUCCGUAGGUGAACCUGCGGAGGGAUCAUUACCGAGUGAGGGCCCCCGGCCCGACCUCCAACCCUUUGUGAUUUGACUGUGUUGCCUCGGGGGCGACCCGGCGCUCACCGGCGCCGGGGCCCCCGGUGGACCCCAACCAACUCUUGCGUCUCGACGUCGGUGAAUUGAUGAAUAUCAAAAAACUUUCAACAACGGAUCUCUUGGUUCUGGCAUCGAUGAAGAACGCAGC
rnacentral:misc_RNA from 1 species